UACGUAGGGUGCGAGCGUUGUCCGGAAUUACUGGGCGUAAAGAGCUCGUAGGUGGUUUGUCGCGUUGUUCGUGAAAACUCACAACUCAAUUGUGGGCGUGCGGGCGAUACGGGCAGACUGGAGUACUGCAGGGGAGACUGGAAUUCCUGGUGUAGCGGUGGAAUGCGCAGAUAUCAGGAGGAACACCAGUGGCGAAGGCGACUACCUGGCCUGUUCUUGACGCUGAGGCGCGAAAGCUAGGGGAGCAAACGGG
rnacentral:rRNA from 1 species